rnacentral:guide_RNA from 1 species
ACAAUGGUUAAUUCGAUGGGUAGAUGGGUAGUGAUAUGAUAUACU